GACGCUGAAGCGCGAAAGCGUGGGGAGCCAAACCAGGAUUAGAUACCCCUGGUAGUCCCCCGCCGUAAACGAUGGGUACUAGGUGUUGGGAGGAUUGACCCUUUUCAGGCGCCGACGCUAACGCAUUAAGUACCCCGCCUGGGGAGUACGGCCGCAAGGCUGAAACUCAAAGGAAUUGACGGGGGCCCGCACAAGGCGGUGGAGCAUGUGGUUUAAUUCGAAGCAACGCGAAGAACCUUACCUGGGCUUGACAUGUCGGUAGUACUUCCCCCCGAAACGGGGAAGGACCCUUCGGGGAGCCGUCACAGGUGCUGCAUGGCUGUCGUCAGCUCGUGUCGUGAGAUGUUGGGUUAAGUCCCGCAACGAGCGCAACCCUUGCCCGUAGUUACUAACAGUUCGGCUGAGGACUCUACGGGGACUGCCGGUGAUAAACCGGAGGAAGGUGGGGAUGACGUCCAAGUCAUCAUGGCCCUUAUGUCCAGGGCGACACACGUGCUACAAUGGCCGGUACAGAGGGCAGCGAUACCGCGAGGUGGAGCGAAUCCCAAAAAGCCGGUCCAAGUUCGGAUUG
rnacentral:rRNA from 1 species